CUGGGCAACAGAGUGAGACUCCGUCUCAAAAAAAGAGGAUACAAUAGUGCCUAUGAUACAUUCACUGUUGGCUAAAAUCACCUUGCUAAAGGCACUGUCAAAACUGAAGUAUAUUUUGAGGUGUUCAGUG